UUGGAGGGCAAGUCUGGUGCCAGCAGCCGCGGUAAUUCCAGCUCCAAUAGCGUAUAUUAAAGUUGUUGCAGUUAAAAAGCUCGUAGUUGAACUUCGGGGUCUACCCAUUGGUCAGGCUUAAUUGUCUGUACUGGUGAGAUGGAUCUCUACCUUCUGAGGAACUUUCAUGCCAUUUAGUUGGUGUGAUGGGAAAUCAGGACUAUUACUUUGAAAAAAUUAGAGUGUUUAAAGCAGGCUAACGUCUGAAUACAUUAGCAUGGAAUAAUGAAAUAGGACGGACUGAUUCUAUUUCGUUGGUUUCUAGGAUCACCGUAAUGAUUAAUAGGGAUAGUUGGGGGCAUUAGUAUUCAAUUGUCAGAGGUGAAAUUCUUGGAUUUAUUGAAGACUAACUACUGCGAAAGCAUUUGCCAAGGAUGUUUUCAUUAAUCAAGAACGAAAGUUAGGGGAUCGAAGACGAUCAGAUACCGUCGUAGUCUUAACCAUAAACUAUGCCGACUAGGGAUCGGACGAAGUUAAUUUUUUAAUGACGCGUUCGGCGCCUUACGGGAAAC
rnacentral:rRNA from 1 species